UACGGGGGGGGCAAGCGUUGUUCGGAAUUACUGGGCGUAAAGGGCUCGUAGGUGGCCAACUAAGUCGGACGUGAAAUCCCUCAGCUUAACUGGGGAACUGCGUCCGAUACUGGAUGGCUUGAGUUUGGGAGAGGGAUGCGGAAUUCCAGGUGUAGCGGUGAAAUGCGUAGAUAUCUGGAGGAACACCGGUGGCGAAGGCGGCAUCCUGGACCAACACUGACACUGAGGAGCAGAAAGCCAGGGGAGCAAACGGG
rnacentral:rRNA from 1 species